rnacentral:rRNA from 1 species
AACGAACGCUGGCGGCAUGCCUAACACAUGCAAGUCGAACGAGACCUUCGGGUCUAGUGGCGCACGGGUGCGUAACGCGUGGGAACCUGCCUUUAGGUUCGGAAUAACUCAGAGAAAUUUGAGCUAAUACCGGAUGAUGUCUUCGGACCAAAGAUUUAUCGCCUUUAGAUGGGCCCGCGUUGGAUUAGCUAGUUGGUGGGGUAAAGGCCUACCAAGGCGACGAUCCAUAGCUGGUCUGAGAGGAUGAUCAGCCACACUGGGACUGAGACACGGCCCAGACUCCUACGGGAGGCAGCAGUGGGGAAAAUUGGACAAUGGGCGAAAGCCUGAUCCAGCAAUGCCGCGUGAGUGAUGAAGGCCUUAGGGUUGUAAAGCUCUUUUACCCGAGAUGAUAAUGACAGUAUCGGGAGAAUAAGCUCCGGCUAACUCCGUG